AACGAACGCUGGCGGCAGGCUUAACACAUGCAAGUCGAGCGCCCCGCAAGGGGAGCGGCAGACGGGUGAGUAACGCGUGGGAAUCUACCCAUCACUACGGAACAACUCCGGGAAACUGGAGCUAAUACCGUAUACGUCCUUCGGGAGAAAGAUUUAUCGGUGAUGGAUGAGCCCGCGUUGGAUUAGCUAGUUGGUGGGGUAAUGGCCUACCAAGGCGACGAUCCAUAGCUGGUCUGAGAGGAUGAUCAGCCACACUGGGACUGAGACACGGCCCAGACUCCUACGGGAGGCAGCAGUGGGGAAUAUUGGACAAUGGGCGAAAGCCUGAUCCAGCCAUGCCGCAUGAGUGAUGAAGGCCCUAGGGUUGUAAAGCUCUUUCACCGGUAAAGAUAAUGACGGUAACCGGAGAAGAAGCCCCGGCUAACUUCGUGCCAGCAGCCGCCGUAACAC
rnacentral:rRNA from 1 species